CCUACGGGUGGCAGCAGUGGGGAAUAUUGCGCAAUGGGCGCAAGCCUGAUCCAGCAACGCCGCGUGAAGGAAGAAGGCUUUCGGGUUGUAAACUUCUUUUAUUGAGGACGAAACAAAUGACGGUACUCAAUGAAUAAGCCACGGCUAACGACGUGCCAGCAGCCGCGGUAAUACGUAGGAGGCAAGCGUUAUUCGGAUUUACUGGGUGUAAAGCGCGUGUAGGCGGGUCUGCAAGUCAGCUGUGAAAACCAUGGGCUCAACCCAUGGCCUGCAUUUGAUACUGUUGUUCUUGAGUGAUGGAGAGGCAAGCGGAAUUCCGGGUGUAGCGGUGAAAUGCGUAGAGAUACGGAGGAACACCAGUGGCGAAGGCGGCCUGCUGGACAUUAACUGACGCUGAGGCGCGAAAGCGUGGGGAGCAAACAGGAUUAGAUACCCGUGUAGUC
rnacentral:rRNA from 1 species